GUUUAGUCCCGAUAGAAGUGAAAAUCCUUUUUUGACUCGCCUUUUUCGGCGAGGUAAAAAAGAUUGUAGCGCAUAGCGGGAAGAUUG
rnacentral:sRNA from 1 species